GAUGAAGAACGUAGCGAAAUGCGAUAAGUAAUGUGAAUUGCAGAAUUCAGUGAAUCAUCGAAUCUUUGAACGCACCUUGCGCUCCUUGGUAUUCCGAGGAGCAUGCCUGUUUGAGUGUCAUUAAAUUCUCAACCAUUAUCAACUUUUGCUGAUAAUGGCUUGGAUGUGGGGGUCUAUUUUGCUGGCUUCUCAGAUAGUCAGCUCCCCUUAAAUGCAUUAGCCGGUGCCCCGCGUGGACUGUCUAUUGGUGUGAUAAUUAUCUACGCUAUAGACAUCUGCAAUCAUAUGGGUUUGCGCUGCUUCUAACAGUCUGUUGAUUCAGACAAUACAUGACAAUUUGACCUCAAAUCAGGUAGGACUACCCGCUGAACUUAAGCAUAUCAAUAAGCGGAGG
rnacentral:misc_RNA from 1 species